UAGGAACAAUGCAGAGUGGAGAACUCUGCUCACCCAAGAUGGAUAUACAGCGUUGAUGAAAAAUAAAUCUUCGUUGUUCAUUACUGCAGCCUAACCUAGCUAAGCUUGACUAAUACAGGUGAACGUGGUAAAAUCUGAGAAGGUUUUCCUCCUGCGUAGAAGGCCGUACCCCUUAACAGUGUUGUGAAAGAGAAAACGAAGCUGAGAAGUUAACAGACAUUCCCAAGGCCUAAGUGGACGAUGGCCCAGUCAAAGCUACAAGUGUGAAAUAUGAAUAGACUUCCAAAUAUCAAUCCUCUCUGUAUUUCCAGCUGAGAAGAGAGAGAGAGAGGGAGAAGCUGCUGAAGGCCCAAACUAAGCAACUGACUUUAUUUCCUCUUCACUUGGAAGAUACAGACCUACUCCCUUGUCAUUCAGAAUUCUGCAGAAGGAGUCUUCAAACUUGCGAUGAUGUCAGCUGACUUCCCAACUAAGGCUGUUCCACGGGCCCAAAAUCUUUCAAUACAUACAAAUUGGAAUUGGAAUUGGAAAAACUUUUGGCCAAUUUGUAGCAGGUUUUCCAGUUUCACUGACAUUGUGGAAACCUAAAUCGGCUUCUCCCUCAGGAUCAUCGUCAGAGUCUGGAAAUAUCCAUCAGCCAGAAACACAGUCCAAGAUUUUAUGUUUUCUGGUUUUUACAAACUGUCAGUUUUGAUUUUUAUUGAGCAAUAAGAAAUUUAGUUGUUUAUUGGAACAAACAAGGCUAGUGACAAUUCUUUCCAAGUGCUGGAUCUUUCCAUUCACUUUAACUAAAUAAAGUAUUUCU